UACGUAGGGUGCAAGCGUUGUCCGGAUUUAUUGGGCGUAAAGAGCUCGUAGGCGGUUUUGUUGCGUCGGCUGUGAAAUCCCGAGGCUCAACCUCGGGUCUGCAGUCGAUACGAGCAAACUAGAGUGUUGCAGGGGAGACUGGAAUUCCUGGUGUAGCGGUGAAAUGCGCAGAUAUCAGGAGGAACACCGGUGGCGAAGGCGGCGAUCUGGGUCGAUACUGACGCUGAGGUGCGAAAGCGUGGGGGAGCAAACAGG
rnacentral:rRNA from 1 species